GGGUCUUGGAAGCAAAAAGAAAAUUUAGGACAUCCAUAUGGAUAAAUGGAGAUGGAUGAUGAAAAUCUCUAUUCCUUUUGGCCAAAAAUCAUGUCCAAUGGGCUUCAAGGAGGCUGCCUAAGGCCUUAUUAGGAAUUAGGGUUAUUCUUUUGAGGCCAUUUGAACUUUAAAGACUAAGUUCAAUAAGUUUAGGUUUUUGGCUAUGUUUUUGGUGAAGAUUUUGUGUGAUUUGGAGUUUAUAUGAAAUAGAUAUAGGCACUCAAAGUUAAGGUAUUGAUUUCUUAUCUACUGUCACUCUAUUGGAUAUAAUGUAUGCAUAUAGAAAGAAAUAAAGUAUUGGCGACUGAAAUUGGAGAGUGCAUUUUUUUGGCUAUACUUUUGGUAUAUUUUUUGAUGGAUUCCAAGUUGAAAUGAAGGAGAUAUUAGAAGUCGAAGUCAACACUUCAAAUCUUCAGAUAAUAAGUGACCCGAUUUACUAGUGGUUGUGUUUUGAGCUAUAUCUUGAGCAAUUUGAUAAGAUUUUGGCUCAAAUUUUUUAAAAUUGUAUGUAAUCAUGUUACUAAACUUUA
rnacentral:lncRNA from 1 species